rnacentral:rRNA from 1 species
GCAAGUCGAACGAGAAAACCACUUCGGUGGCAAGUAAAGUGGCGCACGGGUGAGUAACGCGUAGAUAAUCUACCCUUUAGCCUGGGACAACAUUUCGAAAGGAGUGCUAAUACCGGAUAAUACAUUUUGUCGAGUGUCAAAAUGUUGAAAGAUUUAUCACUAGGGGAUGAGUCUGCGUACCAUUAGCUUGUUGGUAGGGUAACGGCCUACCAAGGCAACGAUGGUUAGCGGGUCUGAGAGGAUGAUC